GUGCCAGCCGCCGCGGUAAUACGGAGGAUGCAAGCGUUAUCCGGAAUUAUUGGGCGUAAAGCGUCCGCAGGUGGUUGUACAAGUCUGCUGUCAAAGCGCGGAGCUUAACUCCGUAAAGGCGGUGGAAACUGUGCGACUAGAGUUCGGUAGGGGUCGCGGGAAUUCCCAGUGUAGCGGUGAAAUGCGUAGAUAUUGGGAAGAACACCGGUGGCGAAAGCGCGCGACUGGACCGAGACUGACACUCAUGGACGAAAGCUAGGGGAGCGAAAGGGAUUAGAUACCCCCGUAGUCC
rnacentral:rRNA from 1 species